UAGUAAAAUCAGUAUGUCUCGACGUUUGCUUUGUUUCCAGCAAGGAUGAGGGAGAUCUCGAGCCCACGGCUGAAAGCUUGGUUGAAGAGCAGACGAGACUGGAACGUGGAAAUGAAUGGAAACCAGGAUAAGAAUGCGAUGGGCACGAAUAUUAUUAAUCCCAUCCCAGCAUCAUACAUCCUGGCAAAUUCACGUACCGAGUCCCACAAGCCUAGACUUCUCACCACUUUCUUCCAAGUAACUG
rnacentral:misc_RNA from 1 species